AGCUACAGGCUUAACACAUGCAAGUCGAGGGGCAGCAUGGUCUUAGCUUGCUAAGGCCGAUGGCGACCGGCGCACGGGUGAGUAACACGUAUCCAACCUGCCGUCUACUCUUGGACAGCCUUCUGAAAGGAAGAUUAAUACAAGAUGGCAUCAUGAGUCCGCAUGUUCACAUGAUUAAAGGUAUUCCGGUAGACGAUGGGGAUGCGUUCCAUUAGAUAGUAGGCGGGGUAACGGCCCACCUAGUCUUCGAUGGAUAGGGGUUCUGAGAGGAAGGUCCCCCACAUUGGAACUGAGACACGGUCCAAACUCCUACGGGAGGCAGCAGUGAGGAAUAUUGGUCAAUGGGCGAGAGCCUGAACCAGCCAAGUAGCGUGAAGGAUGACUGCCCUAUGGGUUGUAAACUUCUUUUAUAAAGGAAUAAAGUCGGGUAUGCAUACCCGUUUGCAUGUACUUUAUGAAUAAGGAUCGGCUAACUCCGUGCCAGCAGCCGCGGUAAUACGGAGGAUCCGAGCGUUAUCCGGAUUUAUUGGGUUUAAAGGGAGCGUAGAUGGAUGUUUAAGUCAGUUGUGAAAGUUUGCGGCUCAACCGUAAAAUUGCAGUUGAUACUGGAUAUCUUGAGUGCAGUUGAGGCAGGCGGAAUUCGUGGUGUAGCGGUGAAAUGCUUAGAUAUCACGAAGAACUCCGAUUGCGAAGGCAGCCUGCUAAGCUGCAACUGACAUUGAGGCUCGAAAGUGUGGGUAUCAAACAGGAUUAGAUACCCUGGUAGUCCACACGGUAAACGAUGAAUACUCGCUGUUUGCGAUAUACGGCAAGCGGCCAAGCGAAAGCGUUAAGUAUUCCACCUGGGGAGUACGCCGGCAACGGUGAAACUCAAAGGAAUUGACGGGGGCCCGCACAAGCGGAGGAACAUGUGGUUUAAUUCGAUGAUACGCGAGGAACCUUACCCGGGCUUAAAUUGCAGAUGAAUUACGGUGAAAGCCGUAAGCCGCAAGGCAUCUGUGAAGGUGCUGCAUGGUUGUCGUCAGCUCGUGCCGUGAGGUGUCGGCUUAAGUGCCAUAACGAGCGCAACCCUUGUUGUCAGUUACUAACAGGUUCCGCUGAGGACUCUGACAAGACUGCCAUCGUAAGAUGUGAGGAAGGUGGGGAUGACGUCAAAUCAGCACGGCCCUUACGUCCGGGGCUACACACGUGUUACAAUGGGGGGUACAGAGGGCCGCUACCACGCGAGUGGAUGCCAAUCCCAAAAACCUCUCUCAGUUCGGACUGGAGUCUGCAACCCGACUCCACGAAGCUGGAUUCGCUAGUAAUCGCGCAUCAGCCACGGCGCGGUGAAUACGUUCCCGGGCCUUGUACACACCGCCCGUCAAGCCAUGGGAGCCGGGGGUACCUGAAGUGCGUAACCGCGAGGAGCGCCCUAGGGUAAAACUGGUGACUGGGGCU
rnacentral:rRNA from 1 species